rnacentral:rRNA from 1 species
GACGAACGCUGGCGGCGUGCUUAACACAUGCAAGUCGAACGGAAAGGCCCUGCUUUUGUGGGGUGCUCGAGUGGCGAACGGGUGAGUAACACGUGAGUAACCUGCCCUUGACUUUGGGAUAACUUCAGGAAACUGGGGCUAAUACCGGAUAGGAGCUCCUGCUGCAUGGUGGGGGUUGGAAAGUUUCGGCGGUUGGGGAUGGACUCGCGGCUUAUCAGCUUGUUGGUGGGGUAGUGGCUUACCAAGGCUUUGACGGGUAGCCGGCCUGAGAGGGUGACCGGCCACAUUGGGACUGAGAUACGGCCCAGCCUCCUACGGGCGGCAGCAGUGGGGAAUAUUGCACAAUGGGCGGAAGCCUGAUGCAGCAACGCCGCGUGCGGGAUGACGGCCUUCGGGUUGUAAACCGCUUUCGCCUGUGACGAAGCGUGAGUGACGGUAAUGGGUAAAGAAGCACCGGCUAACUACGUG